AUUGAACGCUGGCGGCGUGCCUAACACAUGCAAGUCGAGCGGUAACAGGUGAAGCAAUACAUGCUGACGAGCGGCGGACGGGUGAGUAACGCUUGGGAAUCUGCCUAUUAGUGGGGGACAACCCGGGGAAACUCGGGCUAAUACCGCAUACGCUCUACGGAGGAAAGCCGGGGACCGCAAGGCCUGGCGUUAAUAGAUGAGCCCAAGUCGGAUUAGCUAGUUGGUAGGGUAAUGGCCUACCAAGGCGACGAUCCGUAACUGGUCUGAGAGGACGACCAGUCACACCGGAACUGAGACACGGUCCGGACUCCUACGGGAGGCAGCAGUGGGGAAUAUUGGACAAUGGGCGAAAGCCUGAUCCAGCGACGCCGCGUGGGUGAAGAAGGCCUGCGGGUUGUAAAGCCCUUUCAGUGGGGAAGAAAAGCCUCGACCUAACACGUCGGGGUCUUGACGUAACCAUAGAAGAAGCACCGGCUAACUCUGUGCCAGCCGCCGCCGUAAG
rnacentral:rRNA from 1 species